AUUGAACGCUGGCGGCAUGCCUUACACAUGCAAGUCGAACGGCAGCACGGGAGCAAUCCUGGUGGCGAGUGGCGAACGGGUGAGUAAUAUAUCGGAACGUGCCCAGUCGUGGGGGAUAACGUAGCGAAAGCUACGCUAAUACCGCAUACGAACUAUGGAUGAAAGCGGGGGAUCGCAAGACCUCGCGCGAUUGGAGCGGCCGAGAUCAGAUUAGGUAGUUGGUGAGGUAAAGGCUCACCAAGCCGACGAUCUGUAGCGGGUCUGAGAGGACGACCAGCCACACUGGGACUGAGACACGGCCCAGACUCCUACGGGAGGCAGCAGUGGGGAAUUUUGGACAAUGGGCGCAAGCCUGAUCCAGCAAUGCCGCGUGCAGGAUGAAGGCCUUCGGGUUGUAAACUGCUUUUGUACGGAACGAAACGGUGAGCUCUAAUACAGUUUGCUAAUGACGGUACCGUAAGAAUAAGCACCGGCUAACUACGUGCCAGCCGCCGCAGUAAAAC
rnacentral:rRNA from 1 species